UAUCCGUAGGUGAACCUGCGGAAGGAUCAUUAUUGUAUAACCGAGGUGCAAGGGCUGUCGCUGACCCGAAAGGUCGUGCACGCCCGAGUGCCCUCACACACAUCCAUCUCACCCCUAUGUGCGCCACCGCGUGGGACCCCCUUUGGCUUGUUCGGAGGGGGGCUUACGUUUUCACACAAACUUUGUAUGCAGUGUAGAAUGUAUUUUUUGUUUUUGCGAUCACGCAAUCAAUACAACUUUCAACAACGGAUCUCUUGGCUCUC
rnacentral:misc_RNA from 1 species